rnacentral:rRNA from 1 species
GGUCAAGAAGAGAAGCGCAAACGGUGGAUGCCUUGGCAGUAAGAGGCGAAGAAGGACGUGGAAUCCUGCGAAAAGCUAUGGGGAGCUGGAAACGAGCGAUGAGCCAUAGAUGUCCGAAUGGGGGAACCCGGCUGCAGCGAUGCGGUCAUUUGCAUUUGAAUACAUAGGAUGCAAAGGCGAACUCGGGGAACUGAAACAUCUAAGUACCCGAAGGAAAAGAAAUCAAGAGAGAUUCUCCAAGUAGCGGCGAGCGAACGGGGAGGAGCCUGGCGUGAUUUAUUAUUGAACUGAGUAGAACAAUUUGGGAAAGUUGGCCG